rnacentral:lncRNA from 1 species
AUCUCCCUCAAUUCUGCCAAAGAUGCCUCAAUCGCAGCAAGUCGCGCCUCUUGGUUAUCUGCCAUGGUCGAACUUCGCUCUGAUACCAAUCUGAUACAGGACUAUUUAGACUCCGUCAGGAGUUGUAACCAAUAUCGUUUGGUUAAGACGAAAUAAGAGAAAAGAUAGGCUAAAAGACGAAAAAUCUUAUUGAAAUUUCUUAAAAAUUGGAAAGUGAGUUCCUAAUAGCCAAGGGAGACUAUUUAUAAUAGAAAUAAAAUCCUAAUAUGCAAAAAUAAUCCUAAUCCUAAUAGGAG